CUGCAAGGCUCGUGCCUGUCUGAAUCUCCGGGAGGGGUCUGCAGCCUGAACCACGUACUGGAAUAGAGACCAGAAUCUGAGGGAGAGCAGAUUCGGCCUUGAGAACGCCUACAACAACUUCCGGCCCACCCUGGAGACUGUUGACUCUGGCACAGAGCUCCACAUCCAGAGGCCGGAGAUGGUAGCAUCCACUGUGUGAGCCAACGGGGGCCUCCCACCCUCAUCUAGCUCUGUUCAGGAGAGCUGCAAACACAGAGCCCACCACAAGCCUCCGGGGCGGGUCAAGAGGAGACCGAAGUCAGGCCCUGAAGCCGGUCCUGCUCUGAGCUGACAGACUUGGCCUGUGCUCCUGCUGGGGAAGGCUGGGGGCUGUAAGCCUCUCCAUCCGGGAGCUUCCAGACUCCCAGAAGCCUCGGCACCCCUGUCUCCUCCUGGGUGGCUCCCCACUCUGGAAUUUCCCUACCAAUAAAAGCAAAUCUUAAAGCUCAAAA
rnacentral:sRNA from 1 species